UACGUAGGGACCAAGCGUUGUUCGGAAUUACUGGGCGUAAAGGGCGCGUAGGCGGACAGUUUAGUCAGAGGUGAAAGCCCAGGGCUCAACCUUGGAAUUGCCUUUGAUACUGGCUGUCUUGAGUUCGGGAGAGGUGAGUGGAAUGCCGAGUGUAGAGGUGAAAUUCGUAGAUAUUCGGCGGAACACCAGUGGCGAAGGCGACUCACUGGCCCGAUACUGACGCUGAGGCGCGAAAGCGUGGGGAGCAAACAGG
rnacentral:rRNA from 1 species